UUCUAUAUUAAUUUUUCUUUCUCUUACUCCUUGGGCCUAGUAUUUUUCCACUAAAGCCCAUCUAGCUUACACACCUCAAGCCCAGGCGCAUGCAGGUGCUCGUCUCCUUCCUCUGCACGUUCAAUCUACAGAAACUGAACUUGAACAGCCAUGGCGUCUUUUCACCUCUUCCUCUCCCUCUAGUGCUAACCACAGUCAUCCUUUCGACUUGCCACCGACACGAAACUUACAGAGGAACGCAAGGAGAACCCAUUCAGAGAAUUAAAAUCCAACAUUACUGCCAUAAAUCGCCGAAUUGAUUCGUGAAACGUACAGCACAAACAGCCAUUAAUGGCCAUGUUGAGCUCCCUUGAUCUCCCCGUACCGGCUCCCACUGCCAUUAUAAAUAGACCCCGAGGAGAGCCCUCAGCCCUAACACCUUCCAGACCCAAAAGCCCUCUACCUCUCGCCUCAAAACCGGAGAAUUUGUCGCCGGACCCGAGCUUCGUUGUCGCCGUCGGUUGACGAUCACGUCGCCUCCGGUGAAGCUCAGGAUCCCACGUUCUUCCUUUCUCUAUGUAUCUCCCGUGCACACCUCUCUGACCCCUUUCCCCCCUCAAUUCUCCAGCCAGGUCGCACGAACAACGGCACCCGAGCUCCACCAUGGUUCUGCCUGCAGCCGCUGCCCAUGCCCUCCAGUGGACGAGAUCGACAGCGCCAAUACCCUAUCGUCUUCAUCUCAUCGUCAGGAAAGGCGACGUGAACCUCCUCGUGCACGAUCGAGCCACGCGCCGCCGCCCCGACCAACUCCGGCGACCGGACCACCUCUCCCGAUAUAACAUAAAGUAAAGGAGUGACGAUAACAAGUAGGGAAUCAACUUCAAGACUCAGGCAAGUUGCAAAUUGAUCAUGCUUUGACCUAUGUUUUCAUAUUAUGCAUAUUCCUUUAUAUUUUAAUACUAUGCAUGUUUUAUAAAAGUUUUACAAAGUAUUAUUACUAGCUAGAGCCAUAGGUUCAAGACUUGCAACCAUGCUUGGCCACGCUUGCACAAAAUGGGUGGAUGAAAACCAAAAUUGUUUUAGACCUUUAAACUUGCCUCUUUUGGGGCAACGUUUUGUGAAAACUUUUGGAAAACAAAACUAUAUACUAUUUUACUUCUACUCCCUGGGCGGAAUGGUAUUGACGGGAGCGUCUAGAAGUGAUUGCGCCCAUCGGGGUCUUGCAGUGAAUGCGCCCGACUGGGGUCUUGCACACAGGUUUUUGAUGGGAUUGCCGUCUAGGGGACUGGGAUCUUCCAAGUACAGUUUGAUGUAGCUUCUAGUAUAGCCGCAUGCUACUAUGGGCUCUGGCUUAGCUUAGUACUAACGGGAAACCCUACCCCAGGACCGCCAUCGGAGAGAGGCCUUCGUGCCGAAGUUGCGGGCGGCUUGGUGGUAUAGGGGGCUGUUACAGAAAGGCUUCGUCACAACCUCCUCCUAGUCGUACAUCCAAGUGUGUAACGAUAAACGGGGUUGGUUGUGUCAUGUGGGGAAUGUGUACGACCUCUGCAGAGGGUUUAACCUAAUCGAUUAGCCGUGCCCCCGGUUACGGGCAAUUUUGAGCAACUGAAGACUUGGACUGAAGAAGAAUCUCCCCUCUCUUUUCUAAAAAUUGGUUUUAAGGGUUAAAGUUGAGGAAUGAGCACAGUGAAUGUGUUUCACUUCAACCUUAUGUAUGUUUUAAAACUAUUUUGGAGAAUGAGCACUGGUGCGUAUAUUCAACUGUCUCACUCCUAUCUUUUAUACCAAAAACUAUUUUUUUAUUUCAAAAGAACUUUACAAAAAUUUAGUAUAGGAGAAAAUUGGCUUUAUGCAAAGGAAACCUCCACCAAUACUUACCUUGCAUAUAUAUUCUGUUAUCCUUUCCUUUGCAACUUGCGAGUACAUUCCACGUACUCAUCUGCACCUGUCAUGUGCAGAUCUCAGCAGAUUAAGAGAUGAUAGGGUUAUGGUCUACACUCAACGAGCCCAGUAGCGUUGAUGGAGCCCUAACUUAGCGACUACGUAUUAUUCCGCUGUAUUACGUGCCAACAUUGAGCUGUGCCAAUGCUAUGAUCCAGGGAUAGCACAGUAAGCACAGAGACUUGGAUUCUACCAAAUCCGGGUCGUGACAGUUCUGUUGCUCACAUUUGCAACUCGAAAGAAGGGCUACGGAUUAAACGAAGAUUGGCUAAGGACGAGGUGACGAUGCGCGUGG